UGGAAGUGAUGAAAUAGAGAUAAUGGGAUGUCAUUUUGAAUGGAGUGUGUGUGAUAAACGGACUGGGGGUGGGGUGUGGGUAAUGUGUGUGUGUGUGUGCGCGUGUAUAGAAGAGGCUUUAAACGGGGGCACUGAUAAUGCAGUGCUGAUUCCGGAGUGCAUCUGAGGCAUGUUGUUAAGUUCUGGGGUGCCGCUUUACAACGUUGCCAAUGAUUAAACCCCGACACAAGCCCACCAAGACAAGCCUAGGCAUCUUAAAUCUCUAACAGGUUCAUUAAUGAAAGUGAUCCUGUGAUCUGAUCUGA
rnacentral:snoRNA from 1 species